rnacentral:lncRNA from 1 species
CUCCCACUCCUCCUAUGAUUCUCCUCCUCGGGCAGCUCUCCUUCUCCUCUUCUUCUUCUCCCGUUUCCGUUGGUAGUGGCGGUGCAUGGAUCGUAAGGAUCCUCGAGGCCAUCGUGGACCUAGCCAUCGGCGCUCUGGUUCUCCCUCAGAUCCCAUCUCCUGACUUGGCCAUCUAGAUUAUGGGGCCCGACCUAUAUUUUCUUACCGAUCGUGUCCCCUAUACUAUAGCCCCUGAUGACGACCUCGAUGACCUAUGCUGCCGUCCUCCUGCUCCAAAAACUCAGAUGACUUGUUAUUUCUUUGGGUACGAAAUACCAAUGCAAUUUGAAUUAUUUACUACCCCAGCC